CGUCCAUAUCACGCUGAAACGCUGGUUUCCUUACGAUCAUUGAAGUGAAGUAAAGUUGAGCCUGGUCAGUACCUAGAUGGGUGAUAGUUUGGGAAUACCCGGUGCUGUAA